GCAAAUAAGAGUAGACGGUGGAUGCCUUGACACUAAAAGACGAUGAAGGACGUGGCUACCGACGAAACGCUUCGGGGAGGUGGUGAGCAACCUUUGAUCCGGAGAUAUCCGAAUGGGGAAACCCAUCUGUCGUAAUGGACAGAUAUUGUGCGCUGAAUACAUAGGCGUAUGAAGGUAACCCGGGGAACUGAAACAUCUUAGUACCCGGUGGAAAAGAAAAUAAUUUCGAACUUUUUUUAGCUUUCAGCUUGCGGUCAGCAGCCGUGUGACGUUCAGGUUUUCCCUGAUCCGACGACUGGCUGGUUGCCGCUUGCUGAUAGCUACGAAUUGUUCGUACAUUCUCUUAGUAGCGGCGAGCGAACAGGGAACAGCCCAAACCUUAGCAGGUUGUGCAAGAGUAACCGUCCCGCAAGGGAUGGAAAUUCAGGCGUAAAGGCUACAGGGCCAAUGCCAGUUAAGGGGUAGUAAAAUAGUAACGUCAGUGCUCCUGUGUAGCACUGGGUAGCGGAAUCAGCAUUGCUGUAUAACUUUUAGAAGAAGGCUCCUGGAAAGGGCCACCGAAGAAGGUGAUAGUCCUGUAUUCAAAAAAAGUUAUAACGCUACGGUUACCUUUUUGAGUACCACGAGACUCGAGAAAUCUUGUGGGAAGCUGGGUCGACUACGAUCCAAGGCUAAAUACUUUUAGUGAUCGAUAGUGAACAAGUACCGUGAGGGAAAGGUGAAAAGCACCCCGAUGAGGGGAAUGAAAUAGUAUCUGAAACCGUCUACUUACAGGGAGUCGAAGCUCCGGCUUUACGUCGGGGUGACGGCUUGCCUAUUGAAGAAUGAGCCAACGAGUUUGUUUCUAUCGCUCGUCUAAGCCCAUGUAGGGCGGAGGCAUAGUGAAAGCGAGCGUUAAUAGCGCGACCUUCAUACUUCAGUUAUGUGGUCGUCCCAACGUAAGUUGGGAUUGCCGCUGACUGCAGUAUGAACCAGCGGUAGGAACAAGACCCGAAGCCGGGUGAUCUAGCCAUGGCCAGGAUGAACGUUGCCGAAAGGCACCGGGAGGUCCGAACCCACGCGCCGUACAACACGCGGGGAUGAGCUGUGGUUAGCGGUGAAAUUCCAAUCGAACUCGGCGAUAGCUGGUUCUCCUCGAAAUAGCUUUUGGGCUAGCGCCACAGUGGCACUCAGGGGUAGAGCACUGAAUGAGAGGCGGUGGAGCAAUCCUACGACUUUCAACCAAACUCCGAAUACUGAGAUCGUUAUACUGUGGUAGUCAGACUAUGGGGGCUAAGCUCCAUCAGUCAAAAGGGAAACAGCCCAGACCGGCAAAUAAGGUCCCUAAAUCUCUUCGUACCUGCGGGUACGGAGCCUGGCGUUCCGGCAUAUGCCGGAACACGGGAGAUUAAGUGUAAAAGGAGGUGAGACGAUUGAAACAACCAGGAGGUUUGCUUAGAAGCAGCCAUCCUUUAAAGAAAGCGUAACAGCUCACUGGUCAAAUCGUCUUGCGCCGAAAAUAUACCGGGGCUUAAAUCUAGUACCGAAUUUCCGGAUCUCUCCGAUUCGUCGGAGGGGUGGUAGAGGAGCGUUCUGAACUGCGUUGAAGGGAGACCCGUGAGGGAUCCUGGAGUGUUCAGAAGUGAGAAUGUUGGCAUAAGUAGCAUAAAGGGAGGUGAGAACCCUCCCCACCGUAAGCCUAAGGGUUCCUGGGCAACGACAAUCGACCCAGGGUUAGUCGGUCCUAAGGCGAGGCCGAAAGGCGUAGUCGAUGGAUGAGCAGGUUAAUAUUCCUGCACUUGCUUCCGUUUGAGCGUUGUGCGUUUUCUCAAAGUUUCCACGUUUUUUGGCUAUAUACGUGCCGCAAGGCGCAGACAAAGCCGCAAGGUAGAGUCAAUGGAGGUGGAGAGAGAACCCAGAAAAGCAACGUAUCGUUUUGCUGUAAUGGCGAAACGGCGGAGGUAAACCGUACUGCAAACCGACACAGGUAGGCGAGGCGAGUAGCCUCAGGUGUACGAGAGAACCCUCGUUCAGGAACUCGGCAAAAUAGCGACCGUAACUUCGGAAUAAGGUCCGCCCCGACGCAAGUCGGGGUCGCAGCUAAAGAUUUCAAGCGACUGUUUACCAAAAACACAGGUCCCUGCGAAAGCGAAAGCUUAUGUAUAGGGGCUGAUGCCUGGCCAGUGUCAGAACGUUAAGGGGAUUGGUCAUGGCCUUCGGGCCGGCAGCCUUGAAUCGAAGCGCUGACGAACGCCGGCGAUAACUAUAAUCGUCCUAAGGUGGAAUGCUGCCUUAGUGAGGUGUGAGCCCUCCUCUGAACUUCGUAUGCCGCGAAGACGUAAGAGAAAAACUAGCUAUAUGCUGGAACAUCUGUUGUAUCCAAAUUGACUAUGGUCAUAUUAUUCCAUAGAUACUAUGCCAAGUAACACAAAAUUUGGUGCAGACAAUCAGCAGGAAAGACUAGAGCCGUAUUGGGUAGUUGGUUUUGUUGAUGGUGGGGGUUGUUUCUCUAUAAGUUGCAACCGUAACCGUACAACAAAACUUGGUUACCAAAUUUUUCCGGAGUUUGUGAUUACGCAAGGCAAGAAAAGCCUUGGUAUACUUAAGCGGAUACAGCAAUUCUUCGACCGUGGUCAUAGUUAUGUUAAUUGACGUUACGAUAACCAUCAGGAACCAAUUUACCGGUAUUGCGUACGAUCAAUUGACGAUUUAGCGAACCACAUUAUUCCUUUCUUUCGGCGACUGCCACUCGAAACUGCCAAGCAAAAAGAUUUUAUAUUUUUCUGUCAGGCAGUCGGUAUGAUGCAGCGAGCUGAACAUUUAGAGAGGCGAGGAUUGCAAAAAAUAGUGCAACUGAAGUCACAAAUGAACAGAAAAAAAAUACGGCUAGAGAAUCCUCAGAGACUACACGCUAGACCGCGCUCUUUGUCAAAGAGAGAGCCGUGAAGAUAUAGUCCGAUCUCUGUGGCGACACAGAGAGACGAACAGAAAUGAUUCGUCCGUGCGGUAACUGGUUUUUCCAGUUUCACGCUACGUAACAAUGAAGAGCGAAAUUCCUUGUCGGGUAAGUUCCGACCUGCACGAAUGGCAUAACGACUUGAAAACUGUCUUAACGAGGGACUCGGCGAAAUUGCAAGAGGGGUAAAGAUGCCCUUGACCCGUGGCCGGACGAAAAGACCCCGUGAAGCUUUACUAUAGCUUGCUAUUGAGUUGGGAAUACGCCUGUUCAGUAUAGGUGGGAGCUUUCGGGCAACAGUGAGAUACCACCCUUGCGUAUUUACAACCCUAACCCAGCACCGUGAAACCGGUGCAGGGGACAGUAGCUGGUGGGUAGUUUAACUGGGGCGGUUGCCUCCUAAAUGGUAACGGAGGCGUUUACAAAGGUUGGCUAGUCCCGGAUGGAAACCGGGACGAUAGGGUAAAGCCACAAGCCAGCUUUACUGCAACUCCAACAAGAGGAGCAGUUGCGAAAGCAGAACUUAGUGAUCCGACGAUCCAAUGUAGGAUGGUCGAANNNNNNNNNNNNNNNNNNNNNNNNNNNNNNNNUCGGCUCGUCGCAUCCUGGGGGUGGAGAAGCUCCCAAGGGUUUGGCUGUUCGCCAAUUAAAGCGGCACGCGAGCUGGGUUCAGAACGUCGUGAGACAGUAAGACCUUGCUGUCUAUAAAUUCGGCUAUAUGCUGGAAACCCUGACCGAAUCUCAAACAGGAGUAGAGGUUCGAAGAAUCUCACACUACGUGGUAUACUAUUCUAUAUAACGUGACAAUGUGAUGAGUGCAGGCAAUCAGCAGGGAAGGUUACCCAAUCCGUGGUAUAUUUCAGGUUUCGUUGAUGGUGACGGAAGUUUCCAUGUAGCAAUCUAUAGAGAUGAGCGCAUGAAAACGGACUGGAAAAUUAUUCCAGAAUUUCACGUUUCGCAACGAAAAUCGAGUCAGCAUGUUCUUCAUGAACUGACAGCGUUUUUCGGUUGUGGCUAUGUGAAAGAGAAUCACCAUGCACGAGAGAACGACGUGACGUUUGUCUACGUUGUUCGCAAUCGUGACGAUCUCACCACUAAGAUUCUUCCAUUUUUUCAGCGGUAUCCAUUACGGACCGAGAAACGAAUGGAUUACGAACGAUUUUCUCAGAUUGUAGAGCUCAUGAAUAUGGGCGAGCAUCGAGAUAGUCGUGGAGUAAAGAGAAUCAUAAAAAUUGCCUAUGCGAUGAACGGCCAAGGCCGGUAUCGUCGGCAAAGAAUUGUGUAAAACCCUCAGAGACUAUAUGCCGAAUCUAGUCCUUUUCAGAAAGGGCCGGAAAGAUAUAGUCCGAACUGCAUGGCGACAUGCAGAUCUCGGCGGAAACGUCCGAGGCCUUGCGCGGAAACGUGCGAGAGUAACAAAGUUGUCGGUCUCCUAUCCGCCACGGGCGCGGAAACUUGCGGAGUCUCUUCCUUAGUACGAGAGGACCGGGAAGAACAAACCUCUGGUGUGCCAGUUGUCCUGCCAAGGGCAUCGCUGGGUAGCCAAGUUUGGUUAGGAUAAACGCUGAAAGCAUCUAAGCGUGAAGCCGUCUCCAAGAUUAGGUUUCAUUUAAGACCCCCAAGAGAUUAUUGGGUUGAUAGGCACUACGUGUACGUUCCGCAAGGGAUUCAGCGGAGGUGUACUAAUCGGUCAAUGCCUCGAU
rnacentral:rRNA from 1 species